UUGUGCCCUUGUUCAUCACUUCUGACUUCUUCCCUUGGGGGAUGCAGCGGCCACUUGGUAACUACAGGACUUCAACCAGAGGGCAGAAGGGACACCAGGGUUUAAAGGAGGCCCUUCCACCACCACUACCCAGGAGGAAUGCAUUCACUUCUUCUCCAAAACAAAAGUCUGGUUAAAAGAAACUCUAUUUGAAGCAUUAGGAUCUGUUACGUAAUUGUUUAAGAGAAUGAAGCUGACCAACGGACAUUGGGAUAUGUGAUAUCUACACAAACAGAAAAUCAACAAGCUAGCCCAAACAAUAACUGUUACUCACUAACUCUAACAAAGAUGAAACAGAAAUAGAAACUUAAGGGAAUAAAGAAGGAAGUGGGUGGCAAAAAACCGAGGGUGAUAAUUUCAGCGUGAUUUCCCAUCUCGUUCAGCUGUGGGAUUCCUGGCAGCCUAGGCAAAGGCAGGGUACUCAUGGACACAGAGAGAUACAGUUUGACAGGAGUAACAAUGAUUUCCCUUCAAAGGUCUCUAGUUCACUAUGAUGUCCAGUGCAGAGGAUGAAGACAAUGAGAAACUAUGGCUGCCGGGAGUAGUGAAAGGUAGCAAGCAGCUACCCAGGGAGUUUGAACAAAAGGCGGUGGCCAGCAGCCCUCACCGGAUGUGUCACUUAGCUAAGGAAAUUAGGACAAUACAAGUGCCUCAAUACC